GAAAGGCCCUGCUUGCAGGGUACUCGAGUGGCGAACGGGUGAGUAACACGUGGGUGAUCUGCCCUGCACUUCGGGAUAAGCCUGGGAAACUGGGUCUAACACCGGAUAGGAGCCAUUUUUAGUGUGAUGGUUGGAAAGUUUUUUCGGUGUAGGAUGAGCUCGCGGCCUAUCAGCUUGUUGGUGGGGUAAUGGCCUACCAAGGCGGCGACGGGUAGCCGGCCUGAGAGGGUGGACGGCCACAUUGGGACUGAGAUACGGCCCAGACUCCUACGGGAGGCAGCAGUGGGGAAUAUUGCACAAUGGGCGCAAGCCUGAUGCAGCGACGCCGCGUGGGGGACGACGGCCUUCGGGUUGUAAACUCCUUUCGCUAGGGACGAAGCUUUUUGUGACGGUACCUAGAUAAGAAGCACCGGCUAACUACGUGCCAGCAGCCGCGGUAAUACGUAGGGUGCGAGCGUUGUCCGGAAUUACUGGGCGUAAAGGGCUCGUAGGUGGUUUGUCGCGUCGUCUGUGAAAUUCCGGGGCUUAACUCCGGGCGUGCAGGCGAUACGGGCAUAACUUGAGUACUGUAGGGGUAACUGGAAUUCCUGGUGUAGCGGUGAAAUGCGCAGAUAUCAGGAGGAACACCGAUGGCGAAGGCAGGUUACUGGGCAGUUACUGACGCUGAGGAGCGAAAG
rnacentral:rRNA from 1 species